rnacentral:tRNA from 1 species
GCCGGUGUGGUGAAAUUGGUAUACACGACGGAUUCCAAAUCCGCGUGUUGGGAGUUCGAAUCUCUCCACCCCUGCCA